rnacentral:rRNA from 1 species
AUUGAACGCUGGCGGCAGGCCUAACACAUGCAAGUCGAGCGGAUGAAGGGAGCUUGCUCCUGGAUUCAGCGGCGGACGGGUGAGCAAUGCCUAGGAAUCUGCCUGGUAGUGGGGGAUAACGUCCGGAAACGGGCGCUAAUACCGCAUACGUCCUGAGGGAGAAGGGGGGGGAUCUUCGGACCUCACGCUAUCAGAUGAGCCUAGGUCGGAUUAGCUAGUUGGUGGGGUAAAGGCCUACCAAGGCGACGAUCCGUAACUGGUCUGAGAGGAUGAUCAGUCACACUGGAACUGAGACACGGUCCAGACUCCUACGGGAGGCAGCAGUGGGGAAUAUUGGACAAUGGGCGAAAGCCUGAUCCAGCCAUGCCGCGUGUGUGAAGAAGGUCUUCGGAUUGUAAAGCACUUUAAGUUGGGAGGAAGGGCAGUAAGUUAAUACCUUGCUGUUUUGACGUUACCAACAGAAUAAGCACCGGCUAACUUCGUG